GACAGAGGUGGCAAGCGUUGUUCGGAAUCAUUGGGCUUAAAGCGUGUGUAGGCGGCGGCGUAAGUGUCGAGUGAAAUGCCAGUGCUCAACGCUGGAACGGCUCGGCAUACUGCGUCGCUUGAGGUCGGUAGAGGCGCCUGGAACUCUAGGUGGAGCGGUGAAAUGCGUAGAUAUCUAGAGGAACGCCUGAGGCGAAAGCGGGGCGCUGGGCCGAUUCUGACGCUGAGACACGAAAGCGUGGGGAGCAAACAGGAUUAGAUACCCUGGUAGUCCACGCCGUAAACGAUGCACACUAGAUGACGGGACCUCUGACGGUGCCGCCGUCGUAGCAAAAGUGCUAAGUGUGCCGCCUGGGGAGUACGGCCGCAAGGCUAAA
rnacentral:rRNA from 1 species